GGGUCAAUGAUAAGAUAUUAUCCUGAAGAGAAGUGAUGACACAAAAAUCAAGCUCAGUUUGAUCACAGUGAGGCCC